CCUGCCACCUUCUGUUCCCUUCCCGUUCACUAGUCAUUACCAACCAGGGAUGUCAUACAAGUUUUCUCCCCUCACGGACCAUAUCUUUGGGAUUGGGACUUUUCCUUAGAGGGCUGCUGAUAGCAGACAGUCCCAGAUAGAAGUGUCAAUGGGGUCCAAGGGGAAGGAGACUAUGCCCUGCAGGCUCACUUCACAGGGAUCAACGAUUGUUCCACAGCUGUAGCUCUGGGCUGGCCGCUCCCCAACUCCUGGCCCUCAUGCCUUCUCGGAGUGCUCUAAAACCAGGCUGCCCACUCCGUGGAGUUCUCUGCACUUUAGUCUUUGGACUUCUCUUCACAUGUGUUCUGGUUUGUGGGGAGAAACCGGUGUGGGAAAAGCAGAGCAGUUGCUCUCCCCGCCCUGCCCUUGCUUCGUGUGGCUGGAUCCCAGGCCACUAGAGCAGAAGCUGGUGUGAGACUGAGGCCUCCUGGUGCCUGUCAAGGAUCAGAGGGGGACUAGAUCUCCCCAGCCCCUUCACCUUUUAAAUGUGAGUUGUCUUAAAAAGAAAAAACCAAGCAGCAGCAACAAUUUCUCUUUUUAAAAUAAGGACAAAUCUGUUGUUGUUUUUCAGAAACACAUUCUAUUCCUUUUGGCACCGCAAUAUUUUGGGCCAAAGCUCCUUCCAAGCCUAUGGUAGUUCCUCCCCGAGUCUCUCCCGCACAAUGCAGCCUCUCUUCCCUUGCUCUUCCCUCCCAAUGACGGUGGCUCACUGGGGCCUUCCUGUGGAACCCAGAGGCGCUGAGGACUGUGGCCUGGCUGGCCGGCCAGCGUGGUGCUCCUCAGGACUGCGGCACUGAGAUGAAACCUGGCCUCAGUUCAGGAACAGGGGCCACAACAGGGCAGGAACUCAUUGCAUAGGAACCACAACCAUCCAGAACCAUAGAAGUGGAAAAAAAAAAAAAAAAAAAAAAAAA